GACUUUGGAGUCCCUUAACAUUUGUUGGAAUAGAAGUCCAUGCAAAAAUUGGGGUACAAAUUCAUUGUGUAGGCCAAGUUAUUGUCCUUCCCGCGUCUCGUCCCAUGGCACGUGGCCUAUAGCCUAUGGAGCACUAGGUCCGGUCGAAAAAUCGAGGAUUGUUGGAAAUGCUCCGAGACUUUGGAGUCCCUUAACAUUUGUUGGAAUAGAAUUCCAUGCAAAAAUUGG
rnacentral:lncRNA from 1 species